rnacentral:SRP_RNA from 1 species
ACAAAAAGGAUUUUACAAAACCGGGCAAAUGAUGUAUGAUAAUUCACGUAGCUUUGCAAUGUUGAUUUAUGGCAGCCUCCGGGCCCCGUGCAAUAGAAUCCCAUGAACCCUGUCAGGUCCGAGAGGAAGCAGCAGUAAGUGGUCCUUUCCAUGUGCCACGGUGCAUCCUGGAGACUGUCAUAAAUGAGGAUUGCAAGGCUUUUUUGC